GAGGAGGGAGUGAAGGACGGAUGUCCAGGAGGUGCAGACUGGGCAAAGGCCGAAGGAGGAGGGAAUGUGACAACAGGACCCGGUCUGACCUGCUCCCUCUGUACCUGGGAAGUCAGCUGAAGGCCCACCGGUACCCACGGGAUGGUGGGCAAAACACCUGUCCUGAUGGACCACGGGCAGGGACGGGGG